GGAUAAGGGGUGCCUGCGGUUCUUAGCAGAAACUAGGAACCGCAGGUCGCAGUAACAAGGGGGACCUGACUGUUUAACAAAAACAUAGCUCCCCGCUAGCCCGAAAGGGUUUGUACGGGGGGUGAAUCCUGGCCACUGGUGGUAGGUGAACCUCGGGUACAACCGAGCGAAGCCCCACUGAAGGCCGGGGGUAACCCUGACCCUCUUAAUGGGAGCGUCUUGCCCAUACCACAAGACCUCCCAAGAGAAAGGUAGCCAAAUGCCUUGUCGGGUAAGUUCCGACGCGCAUGAACGGAUCAACGAGGUCCCCACUGUCCCGGCCUAGGGCCCCGCGAACACGCUGAGCGGGUCCACAGUCCCGCAACCUCCUGCAGGGCGAGAAGACCCCGUGGAGCUUUACCGCAGCCUGUCGUUGACCCUUGGAUGAGAUUGCGUAGCGUAGGUGGGAGCUGAUGAGCUAUUCCCUUCGGGGGAUAGUGAGGCAACAAUGAAACACCACCCAAUCCCAUUCGGGGGCCUAACCUGGAAACAGGGACAGCGAUAGGUGGGCGGUUCGGCUGGGGCGGCACGCCUGCGAAAAGGUAACAAAGGCGCCCAAAGGUCGGCUCAGGCGGGUCAGAAACCCGCCGUAGAGUGCAAGGGCAAAAGCCGGCCUGACUGGAUCCUUGACAGCAAGGGAUCCAGACGGGAAACCGUGGCCUAGCGCACGCUCGUGCCCCUCUUGGUGAGGGCCGGGCACGACGGAAAAGUUACCCCGGGGAUAACAGAGUCGUCGCGGGCGAGAGCUCAUAUCGACCCCGCGGUUUGCUUCAUCGAUGUCGGCUUUUCCCAUCCUGGGAGUGCAGCAGCUCCCAAGGGUGGGGCUGCCCGCCCAUUAAAGGGGAACGUGAGCUGGGUUCAGACCGUCGUGAGACAGGUCGGUCUCUACCCGCAGGAGGUGUCGGCCGUCUGAGGGGGAGGUACCCCUAGUACGAGAGGAACGGGGUGCCGCGGCCUCUAGUCUACCGGUUGUCCUGGCGGGCAUUGCCGGGCAGCCACGCCGUAAGGGAUUACCGCUGAAAGCAUCUAAGCGGGAAACCUACCCCGAAAAGAGACGGCCAUCCGCCUCCCAGCGAAAGCUGGGGGACGGCGAGGGCUCCCGUAGAAGACGGGUUUGAUGGGGUGGGGGUGUAAGCUACGAGGGCGAAAGCCCGAGUAGUUCAGCCCGCCACUCCCAACAGCCCGAGGCUGCAGGUCA
rnacentral:rRNA from 1 species